rnacentral:rRNA from 1 species
AGAGACAGCAGCCGCCACGGGAAUACGAGGGGGGCAAGCGUUGUUCGGAAUUAUUGGGCGUAAAGGGCGCGUAGGCGGUUUGACAAGUUUGGUGUGAAAUCUAUGGGCUCAACCCAUAGCCUGCAUCGAAAACUGUCGGGCUUGAGUAUGGGAGAGGUGAGUGGAAUUUCCGGUGUAGCGGUGAAAUGCGUAGAUAUCGGAAGGACACCAGUGGCGAAGGCGACUGACUGGACAAGUAUUGACGCUGAGGUGCGAAAGCGUGGGGAGCAAACAGGAUUAGAUACCCCGGUAGUCCCUGUCUCUUAUACC